UACAUCCGGGCACUUGCUAACUGAAUUAUAAGCAAUGGACGACGGUAUUUUACCGUUCUGGCGUGACGGUCCCAUUCCGGGUUCGCUUCAUCAAUUUCCAGGAAGAACGAACGCGCAAGGAUUUAGAGAGCACACCCGUCAGCCAAUCGUGAUGGGAACGUCCGUGUUGGGCGUAAAAUUCGGUGACGGUGUGAUGGUGGCUGCGGAUACACUUGGCUCUUAUGGCUCUUUGGCUCGAUUUCGGUCUAUUUCUCGUUUCUUGAAAGUCAACAACGAGACACUAGUUGCCGCAUCUGGAGAUUACGCCGACUUUCAGUUGAUAGAGGAUAUUCUAAAGCAGAAAGUUCUGGAUGAUGAACUGUUGGUUGAUGAUCAGGGUUAUAGUCCUGCUUCCAUUUUCUCGUGGCUCACGCGAUUUCUGUACUACAGACGCUGCCGUUUGAAUCCCAUAUGGAAUACAUUCCUAGUUGCCGGCGUAAACAAAGGAGAGAGUUUUCUGGGACAAGUUGACAUGCUGGGUGUUGCAUACGAAAGUCCAACUAUCGCUACAGGAUAUGGUGCCUACAUAGCACGGCCAUUGCUACGGGACGCCUAUGAGAGAAAUGCUACGAUGAGCAGUGACGAGGCGAGACAGCUAUUGGAGCAAUGCCUGCGAGUUCUUUUUUAUAGAGAUGCUCGAUCACUAAACAAGUUUGAGAUUGCAACUAUAACACAAGACGGAGUGACCAUUGACCAUCCAAGAUCAGUAGAGACGUCUUGGGAGAUCGGGAAAAUGGUCAAAGGCUACGACUGAAUGAGAGACAACUCUGACUAGGAUAGAGACAAUAGGAGCAUGUUACUUGUGUGUGUUGUGCAUGUCACUCAUGUAGCUGUCUAUUGUCUCCAUGUUUGGGGUCUUUCGUGAUUGAGGAAGUUGGACUUUUGCAAAUGCCGACACGAGGACUUGACGUAGUGAUGUUAGUUGCUGCUCUAGUGCUGUGUUGUGUGAUUGUUGUUCUGUUGUUUCUUUCUCGAGACGGUCAAUGGCUGCUUUCAUGUUGCUGAUGUGUUUUUUGAGGAUGGAGUUUUGUUCUUCGA